GAUGAACGCUAGCUACAGGCUUAACACAUGCAAGUCGAGGGGAAACGGCAUUAAGUGCUUGCACUUUUUGGACGUCGACCGGCGCACGGGUGAGUAACGCGUAUCCAACCUUCCCAUGACUAAGGGAUAACCUGCCGAAAGGCAGACUAAUACCUUAUGGUCUUCACUGACGGCAUCAGAUGUGAAGUAAAGAUUUAUCGGUUAUGGAUGGGGAUGCGUCUGAUUAGCUUGUUGGCGGGGUAACGGCCCACCAAGGCAACGAUCAGUAGGGGUUCUGAGAGGAAGGUCCCCCACAUUGGAACUGAGACACGGUCCAAACUCCUACGGGAGGCAGCAGUGAGGAAUAUUGGUCAAUGGGCGAGAGCCUGAACCAGCCAAGUAGCGUGCAGGAUGACGGCCCUAUGGGUUGUAAACUGCUUUUGUAUGGGGAUAAAGUCAAUCACGUGUGAUUGUUUGCAGGUACCAUACGAAUAAGGACCGGCUAAUUCC
rnacentral:rRNA from 1 species